AUUGAACGCUGGCGGCAUGCCUUACACAUGCAAGUCGAACGGUAACGCGGGGGCAACCCUGGCGACGAGUGGCGAACGGGUGAGUAAUACAUCGGAACGUACCCAGUAGUGGGGGAUAGCUCGGCGAAAGCCGGAUUAAUACCGCAUACGACCUAUGGGUGAAAGCGGGGGAUCGCAAGACCUCGCGCUAUUGGAGCGGCCGAUGUCGGAUUAGCUAGUUGGUGAGGUAAAGGCNCACCAAGGCUACGAUCCGUAGCUGGUCUGAGAGGACGACCAGCCACACUGGGACUGAGACACGGCCCAGACUCCUACGGGAGGCAGCAGUGGGGAAUUUUGGACAAUGGGCGCAAGCCUGAUCCAGCCAUGCCGCGUGUGUGAAGAAGGCCUGG
rnacentral:rRNA from 1 species